rnacentral:sRNA from 1 species
CUGUGUAUGCCAAUUGAGGACAAAUGAAGUGGACAUGACAGUCUAUGGCCCCUGCAGUUACGAUCAGUCCUUCUCCGGCUAUAACCUCGGUGUUGACCUGAAUUAAAGAAAUAAAAGAAUGACUACACACCACAAACAUGAUUGUGAAUCAUAUCUACUCGAGUACUCAAGAAAAGAAGUUUACCCCAACAAUCAUAUCAAAUGAAACACCAUCCAUUACAUCUGGAUUUCCUGCUUUCCCAGUGCAAACAAUCAAUCCCCCUUUGAUACCAAUAUCUGCCUUGUAUAUGCCUGUAUAAUCAAUUAUCACAGCAUUUGUUAUGACAGUAUCCAGGCAUUCAGCUGAGGAAUAGCCACAAGCCUGCCCCAUUCCUUCCCUUAG